UACGUAGGGGGCAAGCGUUGUCCGGAAUCAUUGGGCGUAAAGCGCGCGUAGGCGGCCCGGUCAGUCCGCUGUAAAAGUCCAGGGCUCAACCCUGGAAAGCCGGUGGAUACUGUCGGGCUAGAGUCCGGAAGAGGCGAGUGGAAUUCCUGGUGUAGCGGUGGAAUGCGCAGAUAUCAGGAGGAACACCGAUAGCGAAGGCAGCUCGCUGGGACGGUACUGACGCUGAGGUGCGAAAGCGUGGGGAGCGAACAGG
rnacentral:rRNA from 1 species